CCUGCCCCUCCCUCCAACCAAGACCGUGUCAAGUGGAAACAUGUGUCUGAGACGCGGCACAGACAAUACCUCUGGCUUUAAGGACCAUCACACGGAGCCGAUUCCUUAAACAACCGUACAGCGUCACAGGGAAGGGACAGAGGCCAGGAAAAAACUACUACACUUGUCUAAUUAUUUCAGCGCAGCCCCAAUGCAACGUUACCUUGACCACUUUGACCCUUGGCGUAAAUACAGAUUUGCAGUUCCCUAACAUAGCUGUAGCCCACAGGCCCUGAGUUAUGAAAAAAGCCUUCAAUUUCGUCACAAUGCAGAGUUUGAAGCACUUCCUGACCUUUCCCCUAGUGGGCAGAAGUAUCUACUUUGCAGAAGAACUAAUGUUGUGACUGGAAGGCUGGAAGGAAAGGCUGGGCUCUGCAGUGCAGCAAGGAGGGAGACAUAGAGUGACUGAAGUCCAAGGUCCAGUGGUGAAAUGAAAAGACCGUCAGCAGAUAUUUGACCCAAGAAGGAGGCAUCCGGAUGGAAGUACUGUGAGUUCUUAUGAGGUCAGAUUUUCUAAGAACAAGGGGAGAUAUACUUCACAUCACUUCUCUACUUGGAACUUGCUUCUUAGCACCCUGUUCUCCUUCCCAUUCUGCCAUGGGCCUCUGCCCCUCCUCACUGAUCACCACUGGGAACUCCCAGUCAACCCCCUUUAAUGGGUUCCUCUCCCUUCUCAUAGGAUCAGACAAGAGGUUGAUGUGGGUCUGACCACACCUCAGUCAAGUGUGUGGACCUUCCAUUCUACAUUGUGUCAACACAAAGGAGUAGAGGUAUUUUGGUCUUGUCUGAAAACUAGGGUAAUUCAAGAAACAAACAACAUAUUUUCCUAUUACAAAACUCAAGUCUGUA